UACGAAGGGGGGCUAGCGUUGCUCGGAAUCACUGGGCGUAAAGCGCACGUAGGCGGUUUCUUAAGUCAGGGGUGAAAUCCUGGAGCUCAACUCCAGAACUGCCUUUGAUACUGGGAGACUCGAGUCCGGGAGAGGUGAGUGGAACUGCGAGUGUAGAGGUGAAAUUCGUAGAUAUUCGGAAGAACACCAGUGGCGAAGGGCGGCUCACUGGGACUGGUAUUGACGCUGAGGUGCGAAAGCGUGGGGAGCAAACAGG
rnacentral:rRNA from 1 species